rnacentral:pre_miRNA from 1 species
AAAAGAUUGGGAACGUCGGUUUGUUGGGCAAUAUUACCUGCUCAAUAGAAGAUUUUUCCUUUAUAUA